AUGACGGGGCCCGCGGCGACGAGAGAGCCCACCACGCUGCCGCCCACCACCUGCCCCUGCCCGCCGGCCAGGUACACGGUGAGCCCCGUGGACCCCGGCGGCGCGGGCCCCGGCAGGAAGGUCCCGGUGAGCGAGAGGAUCUCGAAGCGGCCGUGGAGGGCCACCACGGCGCCGCCAGGGGCCGACGGCUGGCGCAGCGCCACGUUGGCCACGGUCCCGGCGCCGCUGAGCACGCACACGCCGCGCUGGCGGCGGCGCGAGAACUGCGCGAUGGCGUCGCACACGUCGGCCCCGCCGGCCACCUCCAUCACGUGGCUGCGCAGCGCGUUGGGGCUGUCGCGCGUCACGAAGAUGGGCGGCUUCGGCUUGUUCUUGGACCCCGGCGGCCGGCCCCGGGGCCGCCGGUUCGGGGCCGGCACCACCGCGCCCAGAUCGCGCGGCUCGCCGCCACCGACAGCCUCCUUGUUCUCGUCCGCGUGCUCGCCGCCACCGGACGUCGGGCUGGUCUCAGGGUCCUUGACGACGAGGGCGAGCGACUCGACCUUGGGGCCCGACGAGCCGGACGGCUGCUCCGGCGCCACGCCCGGCAGCCCCAAAUGGCCGUCCCACCACCGGUUCGCCAUGAAGUCUUCGGUCACCACCUUGAUGAUGAAUCUAGGAGACCAAGUUGCACCUGUGAUCUAG
rnacentral:rRNA from 1 species